rnacentral:rRNA from 1 species
AAGGAAUAUUGGUCAAUGGACGCAAGUCUGAACCAGCCAUGCCGCGUGAAGGAUGAAGGUCCUCUGGAUUGUAAACUUCUUUUAUCUGGGACGAAAACGGGAUUUUUAUCUCAAUUGACGGUACCAUUUAUAAGCUCCGGCUAACUACGUGCCAGCAGCCGCGGUAAUACGUAGGGAGCAAGCGUUGUUCGGAUUUACUGGGCGUAAAGGGCGCGUAGGCGGCGCGGUAAGUCACGUGUGAAAUCUCUGAGCUUAACUCAGAACGGCCAAGUGAUACUGCUGUGCUAGAGUGCGGAAGAGGCUACCGGAAUUCUUGGUGUAGCGGUGAAAUGCGUAGAUAUCAAGAGGAACACCUGAGGCGAAGGCGGGUUGCUGGGCCGACACUGACGCUGAUGCGCGAAAGCCAGGGGAGUAAACG